GUGGGGCUCACCCGUGUACGGUACUUGCAUUAUGCAAAUCUUUCUGUUUUAUCUUUGCACAGAUCAGUUCAAUCUCCAAAUCUUUGUAUAUGUCGGGAGAAUUCAACUUUUUAAUGAAUUGUUAUGAUCAGUGUUUACUAGGGAGUUUGAGCUAUUCUAGACACCAAAAAAAACGAACAGAAGAAGAUCCAAUGGUAUCUUUUAAUAAAAAUAAAAAUUAAGAUUUGAUAUUGGCAAUUAAUAUGAAUUUAUAUCUGAUUAUAAUAAAUAAAUAAAUAAAUAAAUAAAUAAAUAAAAAAGAAAAAGAAAAUAGUUGAAGAGGAGAUUGAAAGCAGUGGUUGGGUGUUUUUCUUUGCAGUUUAUUUUUGUGUGCAUGUGUACCUGUUUGCACAUGCAGUGCUGUGGCAUGGUCUGCAUUUGAUGGCCCUACACACAACCAUUAUUGUCACUAACUGCUUCCUUCCUACUUAGGAUCCCCUCUAUUGCCCUAUGGUUCCUUGUCCCUUGUACCCGGCGUCUAGACUCAGGACCCAUCCCUCAUCACUUCAAAACUCAAGAACCCAACCCCACUAUUUCAAGCACUAAUACUUAGUAGGCAACCAAAAAUAAGAAUAAAGUAACCUGAUCGACCAGUCCACAUCUACCAAAAUUUCUGCAAUGCAAAAUAAAUAAAUCAACAUUUUCUUAGUUAUUCUAACUUUGCCUUACAAAUCUCUGCAAUCUCCUGCAUUAGUGCUAUUCUUAGAACCUCAGUGAUCAAACACCACCACAGGACAAUCUUAUUAUCAAAACAACCUACUACAAUUAUUAAUUCUUUUCCAACACAUCGAAUAACUCAAAUUAUUUACCCCACUGCUAUUCUUUUUUUCUCCUUACUUCUCUUUUUCCAUUUUAGUAUAACUCACUGCAUAAUUCUCAUCAACAAUAAUAUUACAUUAGUUAAUUAGAUCAAAAUCC
rnacentral:lncRNA from 1 species